rnacentral:rRNA from 1 species
CCUACGGGGGGCAGCAGUGGGGAAUAUUGGACAAUGGGCGAAAGCCUGAUCCAGCCAUGCCGCGUGUGUGAAGAAGGCCUUCGGGUUGUAAAGCACUUUCAGUGGGGAAGAAAGCCUUGGGGCUAAUACCCUCGAGGAAGGACAUCACCCACAGAAGAAGCACCGGCUAACUCCGUGCCAGCAGCCGCGGUAAUACGGAGGGUGCGAGCGUUAAUCGGAAUUACUGGGCGUAAAGCGCGCGCAGGCGGUCUGAUAAGCCGGUUGUGAAAGCCCCGGGCUCAACCUGGGAACGGCAUCCGGAACUGUCAGGCUAGAGUGCAGGAGAGGAAGGUAGAAUUCCAGGUGUAGCGGUGAAAUGCGUAGAGAUCGGGAGGAAUACCAGUGGCGAAGGCGGCCUUCUGGACUGACACUGACGCUGAGGUGCGAAAGCGUGGGUAGCAAACAGGAUUAGAUACCCCUGUAGUC